rnacentral:rRNA from 1 species
GACGAACCGUGCGAACGUUGUUCGGAAUCACUGGGCUUAAAGGGCGCGUAGGCGGGUGUGCAAGUCUGCGGUGAAAGCCUCCAGCUUAACUGGGGAAGUGCCGUGGAUACUGCUCAUCUUGAGGAGGGUAGGGGCAUCUGGAACGGUCGGUGGAGCGGUGAAAUGCGUUGAUAUCGACCGGAACUCCGGUGGCGAAGGCGGGUCUCUGGGCCGAUACUGACGCUGAGGAGCGAAAGCGUGGGGAGCGGACAGG